rnacentral:rRNA from 1 species
UACGUAGGGUGCAAGCGUUGUCCGGAAUUAUUGGGCGUAAAGAGCUCGUAGGCGGUUUGUUGCGUCGGCUGUGAAAUCCCGAGGCUCAACCUCGGGUCUGCAGUCGAUACGAGCAAACUAGAGUGUUGCAGGGGAGACUGGAAUUCCUGGUGUAGCGGUGAAAUGCGCAGAUAUCAGGAGGAACACCGGUGGCGAAGGCGGCUUUCUGGACAGACACCGACGCUGAGGCACGAAAGCUAGGGGAGCAAACAGG